UCUAGGAUUUCCGAAUGGAGCAAUCUAUUAAGAUGGAGUCUUAAUACGAAAGAGGGAACCGCGUGAACUGAAACAUCUAAGUAACGCGAGGAAAAGAAAGUAAAAACGAUACCCAAAGUAGCGGCGAGCGAACUGGGUCAAGCCUAAACCUUAAAUAUGUCAAGGAUACAGCCGUUGUAUUUAAGGGGUUGAGGGACAGAGUUGUGAAGAACUGUAAGAUAUUCAAUAUAGUGUAUUGAUGAAUUAGAAUUGUCUGGAAAGGUGAACCGCAGAAGGUGAAAGUCCUGUAUAAGUAAAUCCUUACACAUAUAACUUUGCUCCCAAGUAACAUGGAACACGAGGAAUUCUGUGUGAAUCAGUGAGGACCAAAUCUCAUAAGGCUAAAUACUCUUACUAACCGAUAGCGCAUAGUACCGUGAGGGAAAGGUGAAAAGAACCCCUGGAGGGGAGUGAAAUAGAACCUGAAAUUGUGUGCUUACAAGCGGUCAGAGCCCAUUAGGGUGAUGGCGUGCCUUUUGGAGAAUGAUCCUGCGAGUUACGUUAAACGGCGAGGUUAAGUAUAACGGAGCCGAAGGGAAACCAAGUCUUAAUAGGGCGAUAUAGUCGUUUGGCGUAGACGCGAAACCUGGUGAUCUAAACCUGUCCAGGAUGAAGCUGUGGUAAGACACAGUGGAGGUCCUAACCCACCGCCGUUGAAAAGUUGGGGGAUGAGGUAGGUUUAGGGGUGAAAAGCCAAUCGAACCAGGAGAUAGCUCGUUCUCUCCGAAAUGCAUCUAGGUGC
rnacentral:rRNA from 1 species